UAGGGAAUCUUCGGCAAUGGGGGGAACCCUGACCGAGCAACGCCGCGUGAGUGAAGAAGGUUUUCGGAUCGUAAAGCUCUGUUGUUAAGGAAGAACGAGUGUGAGAAUGGAAAGUUCAUACUGUGACGGUACUUAACCAGAAAGGGACGGCUAACUACGUGCCAGCAGCCGCGGUAAUACGUAGGUCCCGAGCGUUGUCCGGAUUUAUUGGGCGUAAAGCGAGCGCAGGCGGUUAGAUAAGUCUGAAGUUAAAGGCAGUGGCUCAACCAUUGUAGGCUUUGGAAACUGUUUAACUUGAGUGCAGAAGAGGAGAGUGGAAUUCCAUGUGUAGCGGUGAAAUGCGUAGAUAUAUGGAGGAACACCAGUGGCGAAGGCGACUCUCUGGUCUGUAACUGACGCUGAGGCUCGAAAGCGUGGGUAGCAAACAGG
rnacentral:rRNA from 1 species